ensembl:lncRNA
GUCCUUAAUGAGUCUACACAGAACAUUGCUGAUACAGGCUACGCUGACAAUAAAGGCCCACACCACCACCAAGAUGUCCACCAACCAGAGAGCAAACAACAAAAUAAAUGCCAUCCAGAGAAUCACUGUUGUGGAAAUCAAGUCUACAAUGCUUCAACACAAAUUUGCUGCAAUGGAUACAGCCACAGAAAACGGGACAAUAUCCAGUGCUGUGGGACAGAAGCUUAUGAUGUUAAGAGUCCUAACUUGAAAUGUUGCAUGGGAUCACUCUAUAACGUGACAUCAAAACCUGCUUUAUGCUGUGGGUCCAGACUGCAAAAGAAAGAGGAAACAUGUUGCAUUAGUGAGAGUAGACAGCUGCUGUACUCUGCAAAGAAAGGACUGCAGUGCUGUGGUCAUCUCUACUACAACAGGUCUUUAUGGU